GAUGAACGCUGGCGGCGUGCCUAAUACAUGCAAGUCGAGCGAACCACUUCGGUGGUGAGCGGCGAACGGGUGAGUAACACGUAGGUGAUCUGCCCAUCAGACGGGGACAACGAUUGGAAACGAUCGCUAAUACCGGAUAGGACGAAAGUUUAAAGGUGCUUCUGGCACCGCUGAUGGAUGAGCCUGCGGCGCAUUAGCUAGUUGGUAGGGUAAAGGCCUACCAAGGCGACGAUGCGUAGCCGACCUGAGAGGGUGAACGGCCACACUGGGACUGGGACACGGCCCAGACUCCUACGGGAGGUAGCAGUAGGGAAUCUUCGGCAAUGGGCGAAAGCCUGACCGAGCAACGCCGCGUGAAUGAUGAAGGCCUUCGGGUUGUAAAAUUCUGUUAUAAGGGAAGAACGACUUUAGUAGGAAAUGGCUAGAGUGUGACGGUACCUUAUGAGAAAGCCACGGCUAACUACGUGCCAGCCGCCGCGGUAA
rnacentral:rRNA from 1 species